CCUACGGUGGGCAGCAGUGGGGAAUAUUGCGCAAUGGGCGAAAGCCUGACGCAGCGACGCCGCGUGAGGGAUGAAGGUCUUCUGAUCGUAAACCUCUUUCAGCAGGGAAGAACGGUCACUGUGCUACUCAGCCUUGAAUUUACGUUACCUACAAAGGAAGCCCCAGCUAACUCCGUGCCAGCAGCCGCGGUAAUACGGAGGGUGCGAGCGUUGAUCGGAUUUACUGGGCGUAAAGCGCUCGUAGGCGGUAUGUCAAGUCAAGGGUGAAAUCCCCGCGCUCAACGUGGGAACUGCCGUUGAAACUGGGAAACUGGAGUGUGUGAGAGGAGAGCGGAAUUCGAGGUGUAGGAGUGAAAUCCGUAGAUA
rnacentral:rRNA from 1 species